AUUGAACGCUGGCGGCAUGCUUUACACAUGCAAGUCGAACGGCAGCGCGGGCUUCGGCCUGGCGGCGAGUGGCGAACGGGUGAGUAAUGCAUCGGAACGUGCCCAGUAGUGGGGGAUAGCCCGGCGAAAGCCGGAUUAAUACCGCAUACGACCUGAGGGUGAAAGCGGGGGACCGAAAGGCCUCGCGCUAUUGGAGCGGCCGAUGUCGGAUUAGCUAGUUGGUGGGGUAAAGGCUUACCAAGGCGACGAUCCGUAGCUGGUCUGAGAGGACGACCAGCCACACUGGGACUGAGACACGGCCCAGACUCCUACGGGAGGCAGCAGUGGGGAAUUUUGGACAAUGGGGGCAACCCUGAACCAGCCAUGCCGCGUGCGGGAAGAAGGCCUUCGGGUUGUAAACCGCUUUUGUUCGGGAAGAAAUCCUCUGGGCUAAUACCCCGGGGGGAUGACGGUACCGGAAGAAUAAGCACCGGCUAACUACGUG
rnacentral:rRNA from 1 species